UAGCUAGUUGGUGAGGUAAAGGCUUACCAAGGCGACGAUCUGUAGCGGGUCUGAGAGGAUGAUCCGCCACACUGGAACUGAGACACGGUCCAGACUCCUACGGGAGGCAGCAGUGGGGAAUUUUGGACAAUGGGGGCAACCCUGAUCCAGCCAUGCCGCGUGAGUGAAGAAGGCCUUCGGGUUGUAAAGCUCUUUCGGCCGGGAAGAAAUCGCAUGGGCCAAUACCCUGUGUGGAUGACGGUACCGGAAUAAGAAGCACCGGCUAACUACGUGCCAGCAGCCGCGGUAAUACGUAGGGUGCGAGCGUUAAUCGGAAUUACUGGGCGUAAAGCGUGCGCAGGCGGUUUUGUAAGACAGGCGUGAAAUCCCCGGGCUUAACCUGGGAACUGCGUUUGUGACUGCAAGGCUAGAGUACGGCAGAGGGGGGUGGAAUUCCACGUGUAGCAGUGAAAUGCGUAGAGGUGUGGAGGAACACCAAUGGCGAAGGCAGCCCCCUGGGUCGAUACUGACGCUCAUGCACGAAAGCGUGGGUAGCAAACAGGAUUAGAUACCCUGGUAGUCCACGCCCUAAACUAUGUCAACUAGGUGUUGGGUGGGUAAAACCAUUUAGUACCGUAGCUAACGCGUGAAGUUGACCGCCUGGGGAGUACGGCCGCAAGGUUAAAACUCAAAGGAAUUGACGGGGACCCGCACAAGCGGUGGAUGAUGUGGAUUAAUUCGAUGUAACGCGAAAAACCUUACCUACCCUUGACAUGCCAGGAACUUGCCAGAGAUGGCUUGGUGCCCGAAAGGGAGCCUGGACACAGGUGCUGCAUGGCUGUCGUCAGCUCGUGUCGUGAGAUGUUGGGUUAAGUCCCGCAACGAGCGCAACCCUUGUCGUUAAUUGCCAUCAUUUAGUUGGGCACUUUAACGAGACUGCCGGUGACAAACCGGAGGAAGGUGGGGAUGACGUCAAGUCCUCAUGGCCCUUAUGGGUAGGGCUUCACACGUCAUACAAUGGUCGGUACAAAGGGUUGCCAAGCCGCGAGGCGGAGCCAAUCCCAGAAAGCCGAUCGUAGUCCGGAUUGCAGGCUGCAACUCGCCUGCAUGAAGUCGGAAUCGCUAGUAAUCGUGGAUCAGCAUGUCACGGUGAAUACGUUCCCGGGUCUUGUACACACCGCCCGUCACACCAUGGGAGCGGGUUCCGCCAGAAGUAGGUAGCCUAACCGCAAGGGGGGCGCUUACCACGGCGGGGUUCGUGACUGGGGUGAAGUCGUAACAAGGUAGCCGUAGGGGAACCUGCGGCUG
rnacentral:rRNA from 1 species